rnacentral:tRNA from 4 species
GGCCCCUUGGUCAAGUGGUUAAGACACCGCCCUUUCACGGCGGUAACACGGGUUCGAAUCCCGUAGGGGUCAUCA